rnacentral:lncRNA from 1 species
AAGAGUAUAAAGUUUUGUACUAAUUCUUAAAAUGUCAAACUUCGACGAAAUUCAUUUUCUUCGAUUCGUUUACCCUCUCACCUUCACGAAUUUACUUAUCACUUAUUUGAAAUAACAUUAUACUUAUAACCUCAAAAUAAUCUUGUCCUUGAACUGAUGUCAAUUAUCUUACUACAAAUCCAACGUACAAUACUACGGGGUGUAACAGAUAUCAUAAUGUGAAGUGUACAUAAUACUUCAUAAUACAUUGUAGUUGUAUAUAAACAUGGCCAAAAAAAAACCCACAAAAUAUCUUCAAAUUCCUUCUUGGCAACCAGCUCCCAUCUUUGAAGAAUCUGUGUCGCUGAAAACAAAACAAAAAAAAAGAGAAGAAGAAUGCAAAGGUUCACUUUGAUAAUUCAAUAUUAAGCAGGAACUAGAUUUUGAGAAACUCUAGGAUCAUCUUGAAAAAGAUGGCAGAAACUAUAACAAAGUAAAUAAUAGGAUAAGAUCAUACAAACAAACUCAAUAACAUAAACGGAUACAAGCUUCAUACUCACAGCCAACUGUUCACCAUGUAGACAAACGCUAAUAAAACAAUUUCCUCAAACAAAAAGAGCGCGAUGACAAAACUUGUAUUGUUUCUUAUCAGGUAUUAGAUAACUAGCUACCUUUUUCUUUCUUCUGAGGUAAUACAGGAUGAGAUAUAAUACCUUAUUAACUGUAAUUUGAUUAUUUAAGAUAUCGAACAUAAACUUUUUAAAAAUUGGUACAGGAACGAAGACCAACUUUCAGACUAUCACUUUUUCUAAAUCAUAACAUGUUCUAACAUUUCAACCAAAAAUUAUAAUAAUAAUUAAUUAGGCACAUGGAGCACAAUAAAGAAGAGAGUACCAGAGAUAGGACAAUAAUUUUUUAAAGCAUGAUCAUGCAAAAUGAACUAGACAAAGCAAACAAGAUCCUGCAAAAUGACUUAACAAUUCUCUAAUUAACCUGCUUGAACAAAUUAGCAGAGACUAGAGUAGGCUAAGGAAUCGCAAUACCAUUAGCUAAACCAGAAAUUUUCUAAGCAUGUAGCAAACAGGGUAGCAAGCAACAAAUGAGAGAUAACAACAGAUUGAUGCAUCUCUUGAAUCAAACAGUUUUAGUCUUAAGUUUAUAGGACUACCGCUUCUCAUGUGAGAGACAGAGUAUGCCAUAGAUGAUACUACUCAGUACUCAUCAUGCCUAUAAUUUGGUCAAAACAGUAGGCAACAAACGCUUAAAUUUCCUAACAAUGAAUAGAAAAUCAGGAAUAUAGGCACAAAAUGAAGAUUUAUAUUAUGUCGCACAUAUAGGACGAGUAGCAAUGCACCUGUUCAAUUUUCCAAGAAGCAAGGAUGAAUAAAAAUCAUUCUACCUUAUGUCGCACAUAGGGGGAAUGUUUUCUUUGAGAUUCUCAUACAAUUUUCAAUUAGUUACCAUUGUUGAACAAUGCAGCUGGUAGAAGGACUAGAAUUUGAUAGUAGUUAUUUACCAUAUGCAUGCCAGUGAACCUUGCAUCUUGCACAAUACAAACGAUUUGUUCUUUCACAUACUUCAAAUUACUCACACGAAGGAUUCAAUUUCACAUGCCUACUUUUUUAGCACGACAUCCCUAUUAGGGAAAAGAAAAAAUCAUAGGAAACAACAAAAUAAGCAGGUAUUAAAAUGUGUAUUAAUCCACAAGUAAAGCAAAAACAGGACUUGGCCAGACAACUAGUAUCUGCAUAAUGAACAUUUAAUUAGUUGUUUAUGCUUACCUACUGCAUUAUUAAAUUUAAGCUAUUGGUUUUCAAAUAGUCAAAUUCUGAUGCGCAGUCCUCUAAAUUCCUAUAUCUAGUCUCACAUUACACAUCACAUAUCAGCAGAAGGUAUCAAAUUAGUCAUAUAACUCUCAGGCUAUAUCUUUUUAGUAGACCUUUUACUUGGGAAAGUCUUUUUCUUUUCUUUUCUUUUCUUCAAUCUCAACUCACACUAUACAUCAAAUGAAAUUCGUUUUUCCUAUUUUCGUGAAGUUCUCUAUACUGUAAACUAAUUCCAAGCCAAUUUCGGAUGUACAGAUCCUAAGUACAGCACUACCUUUUGCAUACAAACCUGUGCCACUACUCAAAUUAUCCAGUUGAUAUAAAUAAAAAAGCCUCUACAGAUGCCGUUCCUUAUAUAUAUUAUUGCUUCAUAAAAAAAAUUUAAUCAAAAGAUAAAUACAAUAGCAUGAGAGUUUAUGAUCGUUUAAUAAGUACGAGAAACUUACCGAUUUUGGAGAUAAGGACCGUAUUCAGUAGCGGAGAGGCGUUGAUAUCAUAUAGGAUUUCAGAUCUGAAGCAAAAUUGUGAAAUUGCUACCUUAAAGAAAGCCCUCAGAAAGGUCAAUUCCGCAUUAAGUCGAUUUACUAGGGCUUGGGUAGAUUUGGAUUUACAUAAAAAUUUAAACAAUACCAAACAAACGAAAUAGUGGCGACUAAGAAGGUCUAAACAAAAGCUCCACAUAAGUGGCGACAAAAGAUAUUUUAGC